rnacentral:ncRNA from 1 species
UUUUGAACUUUAGUGAGUAGGAAGGUACAAUGGUAUGCGUAGAAGUGUUUGGCGUAAGCCUUCAUGGAGCUGCCAUUGGCACAGAUCUUGGUGGUAGUAGCAAAUAAUCGAAUGAGACCUUGGAGGACUGAAGUGGAGAAGGGUUUCGUGUGAACAGUGGUCGAUCGAGUUAGUCGGUCCUAAGUUCAAGGCGAAAGCCGAAAAUUUUCAAGUAAAAAAUCAGUGAGUAAUAUUGUCAAAUCUUUUAUGAUUUUUAAAUACUUGAAUAAUUUUGAACGAAAGGGAAUACGGUUCCAAUUCCGUAACCUGUUGAGUAUCCGUUUGUUAUUAAAUAUGGGCCUCGUGCUCAUCCUGGCAACAGGAACGACCAUAAAGAAGCCGUCGAGAGAUAUCGGAAGAGUUUUCUUUUCUGUUUUAUAGCCGUACUACCAUGGAAGUCUUUCGCAGAGAGAUAUGGUAGAUGGGCUAGAAGAGCAUGACAUAUACUGUUGUGUCGAUAUUUUCUCCUCGGACCUUGAAAAUUUAUGGUGGGACACGCAAACUUCUCAACAGGCCGUACCAAUAUCCGCAGCUGGUCUCCAAGGUGAAGAGUCUCUAGUCGAUAGAAUAAUGUAGGUAAGGGAAGUCGGCAAAUUAGAUCCGUAACUUCGGGAUAAGGAUUGGCUCUGAAGAUUGAGAUAGUCGGGCUUGAUUGGGAAACAAUAACAUGGUUUAUGUGCUCGUUCUGGGUAAAUAGAGUUUCUAUCAUUUAUGGUAGUUACUUGUUCCCCGGAUAGUUUAGUUAAGUAGCCAAUUGUGGAACUUUCUUGCUAAAAUUUUUAAGAAUACUAAUUGGGUUAAACCAGUUAGUUCUUAUUAAUUAUAACGAUUAUCAAUUAACAAUCAAUUCAGAACUGGCACGGACUUGGGGAAUCCGACUGUCUAAUUAAAACAAAGCAUUGUGAUGGCCCUAGCGGGUGUUGACACAAUGUGAUUUCUGCCCAGUGCUCUGAAUGUCAAAGUGAAGAAAUUCAAGUAAGCGCGGGUCAACGGCGGUAGUAACUAUGACUCUCUUUAAUCACUUUAUAUCGCAACUUUAGAUAUAAGCAAAGCAUUUGACUCGGUGUCUCAUGCAGCAGUUAGCGCCACUCUAACUGCAUAUGGUGCCCCUAAAGAAUUCGUUGACUACGUACAAAAUUCGUACGAGGUCUGUGGCACAACGCUCAAUGGGGACGGAUGGAGAUCAGAGGAAUUCAUACCUGCUCGAGGUGUCAGACAGGGUGACCCGCUAUCUCCCAUAAUAUUCAACUUGAUCAUCGAUCAGUUGCUUAGGUCCUACCCCAAUGAGAUUGGUGCCACAAUCGGAGAUCACACAACAAACGCGGCCGCGUUCGCAGAUGAUAUUGUCUUAUUUGCGGAAACUCGUUUAGGCCUUCAAACAAUGCUAGACACGACUGUCGAUUUUCUAUCUUCAGUCGGGCUUACCCUUAACUCAGAUAAAUGUUUUACAGUUGGAAUAAAGGGGCAACCGAAACAGAAGUGUACUGUGGUCAUCCCAGAGACCUUCCGUAUCGGUUCGCGCUCGUGUCCUGCAUUGAAGCGCACAGACGAGUGGAAGUAUUUAGGCAUAACAUUCACUGCACAAGGGAGGACCAGGUACAGUCCAGCCGACGACCUAGGUCCGAAGCUGUGGAGGCUGACAAGGUCCCCCCUAAAACCACAACAGAAAUUGUUCGCACUCAGAACAGUUCUUAUCCCACAACUUUACCAUAAGCUGACCCUAGGUAGUGUGAUGAUAGGUGUUCUGAGAAAGUGUGACAUACUGGUACGUUCGACCGUAAGGAAGUGGUUAGGACUUCCUCUGGACGUGUCAACUACAUUCUUCCAUGCUCCUCAUAUUUAUGGGGGCCUCGGAAUCCCUUCAGUUCGUUGGGUAGCACCAAUGCUACGUAUGAAAAGAUUGAGCAAUAUUAAGUGGGCCCACCUCGCGCAAUCCGAGGCGGCCAGCUCAUUUCUUACUGACGAAUUGAAUAAGGCCCGGGGUAGAACUCUGGCUGGACUGAAUGAGUUGACAUCGCGUACAGAGAUCGAAACGUACUGGGCGAACAGGUUGUAUAUGUCUGUUGAUGGUCGCGGCUUACGUGAAGCGGGACUUUUUCGUUCCCAACACGGCUGGGGUGUGUCAUCCCACGCGUUUGCUAACAGGUCAAGAUUACCCUAAACCGGUAUCAAGCUGCCAAUAAAUGCCCUACCAUCGAGGUCUCGUACCACGAGGGGCAGAAAUGAAUUAGGAACGGCAAUGUCGUGCAGGUGUGAUGCUCCCGAAACAACAAACCACAUCCUGCCGAAAUUGUUACCGUACGCAUGGGAGGCGGGUAGCAAAACUUACCUCGGUAAGUCAUUUGACCUUAAUAGGGAUUCUUGGAGGGAGAGGGCCCACCAGUUGUCCCUUCGAAACCAGUUUUGCGCCUGGGAA